rnacentral:rRNA from 1 species
UACAGAGGGUGCGAGCGUUUAAUCGGAAUUACUGGGCGUAAAGCGCACGUAGGUGGCGACGUAAGUCGGGUGUGAAAUCCCUGGGCUCAACCUGGGAACGGCAUUCGAGACUGUGUUGCUGGAGUACGGAAGAGGAGGGCGGAAUUCCCGGUGUAGCGGUGAAAUGCGUAGAUAUCGUAAGGAAGACCAGUGGCGAAGGCGGGUCUCUGGACAGUUCCUGACGCUGAGGGCACGAAGGCCAG